rnacentral:rRNA from 1 species
AUUGAACGCUGGCGGCAGGCCUAACACAUGCAAGUCGAGCGGAUGAAGGGAGCUUGCUCCUGGAUUCAGCGGCGGACGGGUGAGUAAUGCCUAGGAAUCUGCCUGGUAGUGGGGGAUAACGUCCGGAAACGGGCGCUAAUACCGCAUACGUCCUGAGGGAGAAAGUGGGGGAUCUUCGGACCUCACGCUAUCAGAUGAGCCUAGGUCGGAUUAGCUAGUUGGUGGGGUAAAGGCCUACCAAGGCGACGAUCCGUAACUGGUCUGAGAGGAUGAUCAGUCACACCGGAACUGAGACCACGGCCCGACUCCUAAGGGAGGCAGGAGUGGGGAAUAUUGGACCAUGGGCGGAAGCCUGAUCCAGCCAAGGCGGGGGUGUGAAGGAGGUCUUCGGAUUGUAAAGCACUUUAAGUUGGGAGGAAGGGCAGUAAGUUAAUACCUUGCUGUUUUGACGUUACCAACAGAAUAAGCAACGGCUAACUUCGUG